CAUGCAAGUCGAGCGGGGAAAAGUAGCUUGCUACUUGACCUAGCGGCGGACGGGUGAGUAAUGCUUAGGAAUCUGCCUAUUAGUGGGGGACAACAUCUCGAAAGGGAUGCUAAUACCGCAUACGUCCUACGGGAGAAAGCAGGGGACCUUCGGGCCUUGCGCUAAUAGAUGAGCCUAAGUCGGAUUAGCUAGUUGGUGGGGUAAAGGCCUACCAAGGCGACGAUCUGUAGCGGGUCUGAGAGGAUGAUCCGCCACACUGGGACUGAGACACGGCCCAGACUCCUACGGGAGGCAGCAGUGGGGAAUAUUGGACAAUGGGGGGAACCCUGAUCCAGCCAUGCCGCGUGUGUGAAGAAGGCCUUUUGGUUGUAAAGCACUUUAAGCGAGGAGGAGGCUACCGAGAUUAAUACUCUUGGAUAGUGGACGUUACUCGCAGAAUAAGCACCGGCUAACUCUGUGCCAGCAGCCGCGGUAAUACAGAGGGUGCAAGCGUUAAUCGGAUUUACUGGGCGUAAAGCGCGCGUAGGUGGCCAAUUAAGUCAAAUGUGAAAUCCCCGAGCUUAACUUGGGAAUUGCAUUCGAUACUGGUUGGCUAGAGUAUGGGAGAGGAUGGUAGAAUUCCAGGUGUAGCGGUGAAAUGCGUAGAGAUCUGGAGGAAUACCGAUGGCGAAGGCAGCCAUCUGGCCUAAUACUGACACUGAGGUGCGAAAGCAUGGGGAGCAAACAGGAUUAGAUACCCUGGUAGUCCAUGCCGUAAACGAUGUCUACUAGCCGUUGGGGCCUUUGAGGCUUUAGUGGCGCAGCUAACGCGAUAAGUAGACCGCCUGGGGAGUACGGUCGCAAGACUAAAACUCAAAUGAAUUG
rnacentral:rRNA from 1 species